rnacentral:misc_RNA from 1 species
AGAAAUCGUCUAAACUCAGUGAAUCAUCAACGGCACCUUCAUGUUCACUAGACUCUCUAUUAGCAGAAAAUUCCCUAUUUGCAGCACUAGGCGUUUUGUUAUCGAAUUCAUCAAAGGGAGUGAAAUUAGGUAUAGAACCUGGGGUUUGUGUGCUAUUUCUAGUCUGAGUACUCCAAUCAGGGUUGGAACUCUUCACUCUUUUGCCACGGCGCUCGAUGAUCUUCAACUGGGCAUCUCGUAUUUGAAUAGGGUCGCCAGUUUUUACCGCUUCAAGCCAAUCAAGCCGGUCACGGAGUUUCGAGAUGUCCGGGAAGAAGUCGCGUUCGAUGAUUUUCUCGAUCGCUGCAACAUAGGUGUCCUCGUCCAGAACUAUAGGGCGCUUCUUAGGGUUUACAGGUGUUCUGAUUGAGGAUGAGUUAGAGACUUGGAUAGCAUUUUGGGGAUUUGGAGACGCAGAUGAAGAUGGGGAUGAGAGGUGGCGUGGUGAGUGACCUGGAGAACCAAGCAUUGUGAAUUAAGUUUCUCAAAGAGGAAAAAGGAAAAUUUUUGGUUUAGGGCUAGGUUUCCGGUGACUGCAGCGGCGGCGGCUGUUGAGAAUAAUCGAUGAAUGUGUCCUUACAAGCGUUGCCUUGC